UCCUGGCUCAGAUUAAAACGCUGGCGGCAUGCCUUACACAUGCAAGUCGAACGGCAGCACGGGGGCAACCCUGGUGGCGAGUGGCGGACGGGUGAGUAAAGCAUCGGAACGUAUCCUGGAGUGGGGGGAUAACGUAGCGAAAGUUACGCUAAUACCGCAUAUUCUGUGAGCAGGAAAGCAGGGGAUCGCAAGACCUUGCGCUCUGGGAGCGGCCGAUGUCGGAUUAGCUAGUUGGUGGGGUAAAGGCCUACCAAGGCGACGAUCCGUAGCGGGUCUGAGAGGAUGAUCCGCCACACUGGGACUGAGACACGGCCCAGACUCCUACGGGAGGCAGCAGUGGGGAAUUUUGGACAAUGGGCGCAAGCCUGAUCCAGCCAUGCCGCGUGAGUGAAGAAGGCCUGUGUAG
rnacentral:rRNA from 1 species